rnacentral:tRNA from 1 species
ACGGCCACUGAAGAUGCUAAGACGGUAUCUAACCCAUUGACA